GUCUAUGGCCAUAUCACCCGGAAUGCACCCGAUCUCAUCUGAUCUCAGAAGCUAAGCAGGGUCGGGCCUGUUUAGUACUUGGAUGGGAAACAGAUCUUCAGAAGAGACUGCUCAGAGACA
rnacentral:rRNA from 1 species